rnacentral:lncRNA from 1 species
ACUCAUUCCUUAUUUUUUCCUCUAGCACUUAAAUAUAGUGUUCAAAAUAUCAUACCAAUAAGUAUGUAUUGAGGAGAUGAUCAUUUAACCCAAUAUACACUUUUAUGAAUUUAGUAAGUCCAGUCACAAUGUCUGAUACUUCAUCAAUCAUUGACAUAGUAUUGGUUGGCUAAAGCCAGACCCAUGAUUCUGAUUAAAAUUUGGUUAAAUCAUGAUGAGUAUCUGAGAAGGAAUUUUACUAUAGGCACAAUGUUAUUGAAAUCAUUGAUUCAGAUAUUAAGAAGUAAGUUUUUUAAGCAACUAAAUUUGUUAAACUUUGUCACAUUGGAAACAUAAGAAACUAAAGUUAUUUUCCAUAGGGUUCAAAUCAAAACCUGAGCAUGUUACUUAAACUCAGAAAAACAUUCAGUAAUCUGAUGGUUAAUUUUGUAUGUCAACUUGAUAGGUUAAGUGAUGCCUAGAUAAUUUGUACAUUAUUUCUAGGUGUGUCUGUGAGGGUGUUUGCUUCAUUAGACUACUAAGGAAGAUGGCCCUCACCGAUGUGGUUGAGCAUCAUCCAAUCAGUUGAGGGCUCAAAGAGAACAAAAAGUCAGAGGAAGGGUGAAUUCAUUCUCUGCUUGGGAAUCACUAGGUAUCUAGAACUGGCACGUAUAUUUUCUCCUAACCUCACAUAUUGUGCUUCUGGUUCUCUGGCUUUUGCGCUUCAGUCAAGACUUAAACCUUUGGCUCCCCUGUUUCUCAAUCUUUCAGGAUUAGACUGGAACUAUAUAACAUUGUCUUUCAUUGGUGUCCAACAUGCAGACAGCAGAUCAUAGGAUUUAGCCUUACUAAAUGUGAGCCAGUUCCUCAUUAUAAAUAUCCUUCUGUAUAUCUAUCUCUAUGUAUCAUAUUGGUUCUGUUUCUUUGGAGAACCCUGGCUAAUACAAGUAGUUCCCCUUAGCACUUAGUGUAAUAAUGCCCACAUGUUUCUUACCACACUUGUCCUUAUAGCUUUUACUGAAUUCUAAUUUUCUUCCUGCAUUAGGGUCUUCACAUAUCUUUUCCAAUACACCUAGUAAUUUCUAGUCUUGACAUAAAUUUGUCAUUUUUUAAAAAUAAUAAAUGUUACAGUGUUCUUUUAAUUCUUAUUGAAUCAUGUAAUAAAUAUCAUGAUUGUCUUGAAGAUUAUCUUUAUAGUAAGGAAGUUACAGAGGAAUCUUUGCCCCCCAAAAGAAAUGUGAAACACAUGAUAGAAAAUGAAGAAACACAUCACUAGCUUGAAUGCACUUUCCUAUACUUCUUCAUCCUGCAUCAGCCUCAUUCUUCAUGAUAUCAAGAUAGAAGAUCAGAAGAUUAGUGUAGGAGGUGAAAAUAACACAUACCGUUUGUCAAAAAAUGGAAUGAUCUUAAUUUGCAUUUUUAAAAGCUUUCCUCUUCCAUUUGUUCACUUUAUUUUGUGCUCUUAUACUGUGUUAAAAUAUGUUAAACUAUUCUCAAUAGAGGAGAAAAUAGACAAGUAUACUUUUUUUUUUCAAAACUACUCCGAUUCAAGAAUAAAGAUUACUGAUCUGUUACCUGGCACCAAGUUGAAGUUAAAGAGUGAAGAAAAAUUGCAUUUAAAUAUGCUUUCUCUCUGCAAACACAGAUAUUAAUAUGUGCACAUAUACAUACUUAUAAAUAUACAUUCAUGCAUAUAUAUAUGCAUGUAUAACUAUUAGAUUAUGAAUCCAUCAGCUAUAUACAUCAUUCAUGUAACAUCCAGCUAUUUAUCAUUCAUGCAUCUUAUAUAAGUUUAUAAAUUUACACUUUGUAAAUGGAAAUUGGUAGAUAAAGAAUAAAAAAUAAAGUCACGAAGAUUAAAAUAAUUAUUUUAGAAAAAUAAGGACUAAUACAGGGGGAUGAAAAGUGAGAAGUUUAAAUGACUGGUCUAGACAUGUUUUUCAGGUGCAGAGUGAGCAAAUAGACAUAAAAGAACACAUGCAUAUGUUUUUAAAGCCCCACAAAGUUUAAGGUCAAAAAGAGGAAUGAAAAAAUUUCUAACAAUAUGCAUAUUUUGUUUAUGUUGGAGAUAAAAUUUUUAUUGUGAUAUUUAUGUGUGCUUAAUACCCCAAUAAUGUAGAAUUGCUUUUGGAUAUCAUUAUUACAAAAAUAGGCCAAAUAAAGUAUAUAGACUUAAAAAUAAGGACAUAAUCAUAAAUAAGGGAAAUAUAUAUUUGAGAUUUUAUCUUAAAAAUAAAAUUAUAUUGGAAAUGGAAAUUUAAAAUGAAAAUAUAAUUUUAUUUUGAAGUUGUCAAGUGUAGGACCUAAUUGCAACUCUGCACUGAUAUGUAUCUGUUAUAUUUUUCUGGUGUUUAUUGAAAUAUAUUGAACCCAUUAUUUAGAAUAUUUAGAAGGAAGAUUCAAAAUAAAUACUUUACUUUUCCAAAGGACUAAAAUAAUUGAUAUCACCUGCAGUGUGCACUCGUAAGUCAUGAACAUUGCCUGUUUUUUUGCAUCUAUUUGUUAUGGCUUUUUCCUUCCAGUUUAAUUUAGAUAUAAUUUAAAUACAUUACCAUAUAAGUUUAAGGGGUACAACACAAUGACUUGACUUAUAUAAUGAAAUGAUUAUCACAAUAAGUUUAAUAAAUGUCCAUCAUCUCAUAAAGAUAGAAAAUUAAAGAAAUGGAAAUAAUUGCUUUGUGUGAUUAGAACUCUUAGGCUUUACUCUCUUAACAAUUUUCUUUUGGUUGAUUUAUAUUGUUCAGUCAAUUUCUACUGUACAGCAAAGUGACCCAGUCAUAUAUCUAUACACAUCCUCUUAUAUUAUCUUCCAUCAUGUUCCAUCAUGAGUGAUUGGAUAGAGUUCCCUAUGCUAUACAGCAGACCUCACUGUCUACCCCUUCUAAAUGUUAACAGAUUGCAUCUAUUAACCCAGAACUCCCAGUCCAUCCCACUCCCUUCCCUUUCCACUUGGCAACCACAAGUCUGCUGUGCAUGUCUGUGAGUCUGUUUCUCUUAUAUAGAUAGGUUCUUCUGUGCCAUAUUUUAGAUUCUACAUAUAGUUAUCAUACAGAAUCUGUCUUUCUCUUUCUGACUUACACCACUUAUUAUGAGAAUCUCAAGUUCCAUCCAUGUUGCUGCAAAUGGAAUCAUUUUGUUCUUUUUUAUGGCUGAGUAGUAUUCCAUUGUUUAUAUGCACUACAUCUUAAUCCAUUCCUCUUGGGUGAAUAUUUUGUGCUGUGAGGACUUUUGUUUCCAUAUGCAGAUGCAUACCUGAAUAUUUUGGUUAAUGAAUACUCUGUUAAUGUGUCAAUUCCCAUUCAUACCCCCAGCUUUCUUGUUACCUAUGAUUUAUAUAUGCAUUACGUAUAUGUUAUAUAUAAAUAUACAGCUAUAUAUAUACAUAAUAUAUCCAAUAUAUAUUAGAUACAUAUUUAUAAAAUAAACCACCUGUAACAUAGGUAAUUUGCCUGUGUCUAGUGUAUCCAGGCAUAGAUAUCUUCUAAAACUAUACAAUGUCUAUAUGAUCCUGGCUUCAUGUGUCAUUGGACCGAACAUGUAACAGCUAUGCUCUUCUACGUAGUAAUUAAAACUUAAUAGACAUUUCACAGGAACAUUUAAUGAUUUCUAGAUUUUAGGUACCUAUUUAAUUUAUAGAAGAUAUAUUUUUGAACAAAGACAAUUCACAAAAUUUACAUGUCUUUUACAAAUAUUUGUUCAUUUAUUUUGAUAUAUUUUCAGGAUUAUCCAUUGGUUGAAUUUCUUUUUAAAUGACUAAUUUUAGGUACUCAACAUGUUUUUAACACUAUCACCAACCCUGUUUCUACUGAGCACCUUUCCUUGACAUUCCAACAUCUUAACAAUCACUCAAUAUUGCAAAAUUCCAUUAAAGAUAAGUAUGUCUAAAAGAUAGCAUUCCUUUGGCAGCUUGUCUCUAAACUACUGCCUUCCACUACAAUUUUUGGCAAUGGAAUUAUGUUCUAUGAUCUGAGUGCCCAAGAAUAGUAGUUUGUGUGGCUUUUAUGCAUUUGAAGUGUGGAUAGUAAGGCUGAAAAAAACUUUCAAAUUUAAUUUAAUUUUAAUUAAUAUAAAUAUAAAUCAGAAGCCAUAUGUGUCUUGUGGCUACCAUCUAGGACAGAAUAGUCGCUCCAAAUCUAAGAAAAGUUUUUUUGCAAGGCAGAGAACAGAAGAAAAAAACUUGAUUUAAUUUGUUUUAUUCCUUUAUUUGACCAAUUAUUCAACACUAGUACUUAUUACAUAUUCACUAUUUUCCAAGCAUUGCACUAAUAAGAAGUUAUUCAAUCAUGAAGAUGUGUAUAUAUUAGAGAAGGGCUCUAGGGUAAGCAGCAAUGUUUCUCAUUCCCAAAGACACUUUGAGCAUAAAUAAAAAUACCUGUGGAGUUCGCAUUUUGGUUCAGUGGAUUAAGAACCUGACAUAGUGUCCAUUAGGAUGUGGGUUCAAACCCUGGCCUCGUUCAGUGUGUCAAGUAUUGGGCAUUGCUGCAAGCUGUGGCAUAGGUUGCAGAUGCAGCUCAGAUCCAGUGUUUCUGUGGCUGUGGCAUAGCCAGCAGCUGCAGCUCCAAUUCAACCCUUAGCC